UAGUCUUUUGUUUACUCUUCGUUUAAUACUUCUUUUAGAAAUUUGUUUUGCUCCUAGUUCAAGCUUUGCGCAGAGAUUGUUAUUUUAUUUCAGUCUUAGUUGCAUGGUCGGCCUCAAAGCCUACCACCAUCCUGUUUUGCUAGUUACACUAUUUUAUGGAUCGGGGAAUCAAGUUAGAUCUAUAAAUUGAGGUUUUCUAUUAGAAACAAAUGAUAUCUAACAAACACCUGAAUUUGUAUUAUAUGGCAAGUUAUCUGACAUGGUUUUUAUAUCUUGAACAAUGAACAUUAUAUUCUGUUUGUAGAUUGGUUUGAUAUGCUCCCAUUAGCUUUUACCCCUUAAAACGAUAUUUGCCUUUUAAAUACCUGGUUUUCGGUUGUAUCAGGCAAGGGAAUUAACUAGCAAAGAAGCACUAGUUUUGCGUCUGCAAAAGCAGUAUCCAGAUGAUAUUGGCAUCAUAGCAGCCCUGCUUUUUAAUUACAUUAAGCUUAAGCCUGGAGAAGCUUUGUAUCUGGGAGCAAACGAACCUCAUGCAUACAUAUUUGGUGAAUGCAUUGAGUGCAUGGCUACUUCAGAUAAUGUUGUACGAGCUGGGCUUACUCCAAAGAAGCGUGAUACUGAGAUCCUGUGUUCUAUGCUGACAUAUAAACAGGUUUGUAAGAAGCCUCGGAGCUUCACCCCUAGACGUAGGCUGCUUUUCUUAUACAGUAAGAUGGUUGUGGAUACUGGUCAGGAAGUGGCUAAUACCAUUUCUUAAAAACACUGUUUCUUCUUUUAUAUAUUGGACUGAAUUUCACCUCAGGCACAAAUGUAAUCCUGUUUUUUGCAGGGCUCUCCUGAAAUUUUGCCAGGAGUCAACAUAAAUUCAAGUAUAAAAAGAUACACUCCUCCUCUCGAUGAAUUUGAGAUUGAUCAUUGUGUUCUCAAGGAUGAGAACUCUGUUGUUUUCCCUGUGGUACCCGGCCCUUCAAUCUUUUUGGUCACAGCAGGCAAUGGAACAAUGAAGUCAGAAGCUGAAGAAAUAGUUUCUGAGGGCGAUGUGAUGUUCGCACCAGCCAACAGUCGUAUCUGUGUCACUGCUGCAUCGGAGUUGCAUCUGUACAGAGCCGGAGUGAAUAGCAGAUUUUUUAGGCUGGACUGACCAAUGCUUUCACCUGUGAUAUUAGUAGUCAUUUUAGCUUCAUAUGGUGUGAGAAUUAAUGCCGUGUCUGUAUGUUAGCAUAUUUAAAAGUAGUUUUUAAUAUAUAAUCCAGUACAAUAAGUUUAAGUAAUACAUCUAUGAGCUAUCUCUGUGCAUAUAUCCCUUCCUAAGUGAUGAAUAGUUGCAUAGGAGAUAUGCAGAUGCACUAGUGUCUGUAUCUGCAUAUGUUCCUGCAGGCUGAAACUAUUGAGUGUGCAACAUAGUUCAUCAAGUUAUUGGAUACCGUAAUAACUUAUAUUGAUGGCAUAAAGGUCUUGUGCCAAUUAUUGCCACAUUGUUGUUCUUCACAAGUUAUGCAAUUUUCACUUCCAGGCUGAUAUAUUUCUGGUGCCCCAGAUUGAUGCAGCAAUUAAAAGGUUCAACAUUGAUAUGGUAGGCUGUCUUCCUUCCUCAAACUUUGAAUAUCUAAUGGCCAGUGUGCUUUAGACUUUCCUUCAUCUAGGCAAGCUUAUGAUGUUAUUGCUGGUGACAGAUUAAAGUCCGAGUCAAGCAUGCAACCUGUCCGGUAAAAGUUAUACUCCCAAGAUUCAAGAAACACCUAAUAAUAUGGUAGUGCAGGCAGGCAUGUAGACUACAAUUAUAUCGGCAUUCUGUGAUUGUAAUUUUUAUUCUUUUUUCUUGAAGAAUAAAAAUGUAAAUGAUAAUAUUGCUUGAAUUGGUUCCUUUAAAGUCAGGGCAUUGCAUUUGUAACCCCGUAUGAAAUAGUACUACAAAUGCUGAUAAAAAAGUACUAGAAGCGCUGAUGAAAAGUUGCACAACCGUGCACCGCUUUGUUCUAAUUUAUUGAUGUUUGCUUCAGAAAAUGGUUGAUGGAGGAAUUGUUAAUAAUUGGAUGUGUGUGAACUUUGCACAAAAUGUUCAAGAUAAUUUGGCUAGCGGGUUUUGUUCAAAACUCGCAUAGAUGUGCACAAUAUCAGGUAUGGUAUAUACCGCAAGACCUCUUUGUCUUGAUGUUCUCUACAUAUUGUCAAGUAUAUGAUAUCAGACAAGAAGAUAUGGCUAGGAUAUCAGACAAAUAUAUAUGGCAAGGGAACAAGAAAAUCACAAGCAGAUAAGAGGACGUGACAAGAAAAUCUCAAGCAGAUAAGAGGACGUGACACGUGACAGGGAAUCUGGUAGCUUUGAAAGAAAUAGAGACAAGGGGAAUUUGAAAUAGUGGGAAAAGACUGCACCCAGAAAUAAUUCAUGUAGAAAAUCAUUAUUGAAAUACAUUAUUGUAAUACUGUAACAAAAACCUGGAUCUCUAUAUAAGAGACCUUAUUGUAAAUCAUCAGUUUUUGGAAUACAACAUCUUAAAUUUCUCUACAUUCAUUCUUCUUAUGGCAAGCUAAACCUCUUCUCCUACAGUCUACAACAGAUAAACAUGUUCAUCAAUAAGAUAUCAUAUACAAAUAUUAUCUAUUUAUCAUUACAUCAGGGACUCCGGUGAUCCAAUCUGUUUGAAUAGUUUGAUUUAUUUUGAUAAAUAAGAUAGGAUUUUUAUAUGAUAUUUAUAAUUCAUGUUAUGCAUGAUAUUGAUGAAGCAUGUUUAGAAGUUAUAGAUUGUAGAUUUUAUUUUAAACAUGUUUGUUUUUGUCGGAAUAUCUAAUUGCCUACCCUCUUUAGGGUUUAACAGAUAUGAGAAACGAUCCCCUAAUAUCUUGGACUGAACUAUAUUUUUCCUGUUUAGCGGUUCGAUCCCAAUCCAGUGCUUCCAGUUACCGGCGCACAGACUGAUCAGGUGGAGAGUGUGCUAAAAUCACGUUUUCAAGAGGUGCAGAAACUGAAGAAGGAGCUUGACCUAUUGAUUCUUAUUCUUCCAGAUAAUAAUGGCUCACUAUGGUAUGUAACCAUUUGAGAAAUUCUGAUUCUGAUAUUUGUAAUGGUCCAGUGCUUUUAUUGAAUGUCUGCGUAAUUGUCUGUCUGUGGUUUUGCUUGCAUUCACACUUCUGUGUAAUGGUAUCUGUCUCACUAAUCGCUGUUUAUGACUAUUCAUGAAGGCGAUCUAAAGAGAAUUUGUGAGACCGACCUUGGAAUAGUUUCACAUUGUUGCUUGACAAAACAUGUCUUCAAGAUGAGCAAGCAACACCUAGCGAAUAUGGCUUUAAAGAUAACGUCAAAGUUGGGGGAAGAAAUACAGUUCUUGUUGAUGCUUUAUCGAGGCGUAUUCCACUUGUCAGUGACCGGCCUACAAGCAUUUUUGGUGCCGAUGUCACCCAUCCUCAUCCUGGAGAAGAUUCCAGCCCCUUAAUUGCAGCAGUAUGAUAUAAAAUUUUAUAGAACUGCUUAUACAUACUUGAGUUAAUGUUUGUAUGUGUUAAUAUGAUUGCCUCUAUUUGACAGGAUUAUGUGUAUAUUAUUAAUUUCUUAUCAUCUAUUGUUGCUUAAAUUUGAUAUGAGAUUUGUUAUAUAAAUUUCAGGUCGUUGCUUCACAAGAUUGGCCAGAGAUAACAAAGUGUGCUGAAUUGGUUUGUGCUCAAGCCCAUAGACAAGAGCUUAUUCAGGAUCUGUACAANUUUAUUUCAGUCUUAGUUGCAUGGUCGGCCUCAAAGCCUACCACCAUCCUGUUUUGCUAGUUACACUAUUUUAUGGAUCGGGGAAUCAAGUUAGAUCUAUAAAUUGAGGUUUUCUAUUAGAAACAAAUGAUAUCUAACAAACACCUGAAUUUGUAUUAUAUGGCAAGUUAUCUGACAUGGUUUUUAUAUCUUGAACAAUGAACAUUAUAUUCUGUUUGUAGAUUGGUUUGAUAUGCUCCCAUUAGCUUUUACCCCU
rnacentral:lncRNA from 1 species